rnacentral:tRNA from 1 species
GGCGCCAUGGCUUAGUGGUAAAGCGCCUGUCUAGUAAACAGGAGAUCCUGGGUUCGA